AGAGGUGAAGUUUUAGUAAACGGUAAGGUUUGGUCUUAUAGAAGAGGAUUAAUUUCCUUCACCUCUA
rnacentral:tRNA from 1 species